UAGGGAAUCUUCCGCAAUGGGCGAAAGCCUGACGGAGCAACGCCGCGUGAGUGAUGAAGGUCUUCGGAUCGUAAAACUCUGUUAUUAGGGAAGAACAAAUGUGUAAGUAACUAUGCACGUCUUGACGGUACCUAAUCAGAAAGCCACGGCUAACUACGUGCCAGCAGCCGCGGUAAUACGUAGGUGGCAAGCGUUAUCCGGAAUUAUUGGGCGUAAAGCGCGCGUAGGCGGUUUUUUAAGUCUGAUGUGAAAGCCCACGGCUCAACCGUGGAGGGUCAUUGGAAACUGGAAAACUUGAGUGCAGAAGAGGAAAGUGGAAUUCCAUGUGUAGCGGUGAAAUGCGCAGAGAUAUGGAGGAACACCAGUGGCGAAGGCGACUUUCUGGUCUGUAACUGACGCUGAUGAGCGAAAGCGUGGGGAGCAAACAGG
rnacentral:rRNA from 1 species